rnacentral:rRNA from 1 species
AUUGAACGCUGGCGGCAGGCCUAACACAUGCAAGUCGAACGGUAACAGGAAGCAGCUUGCUGCUUCGCUGACGAGUGGCGGACGGGUGAGUAAUGGCUGGGAAACUGCCUGAUGGAGGGGGAUAACUACUGGAAACGGUAGAUAAUACCGCAUAACGUCGCGAGACCAAAGAGGGGGAACUUCGGGCAUGCUUCGAUCGGGUGUGCCCAGAUGGGAUUGGCUAGUAGGUGGGGUAACGGCUCACCUAGGCGACGAUCCCUAGCUGGUCUGAGAGGAUGACCAGCCACACUGGAACUGAGACACGGUCCAGACUCCUACGGGAGGCAGCAGUGGGGAAUAUUGCACAAUGGGCGCAAGCCUGAUGCAGCCAUGCCGCGUGUAUGAAGAAGGCCUUCGGGUUGUAAAGUACUUUCAGCGGGGAGGAAGGCGAUAAGGUUAAUAACCUUGUCGAUUGACGUUACCCGCAGAAGAAGCACCGGCUAACUCCGUGCCAGCAGCCGCCGUAA